rnacentral:rRNA from 1 species
CGGAUCGGCAUCGAUCUGAGGGAAAAGGAGCAAUCCGCUUUGAGAUGGCCUCGCGUCCGAUUAGCUAGUUGGUGAGGUAAUGGCCCACCAAGGCGACGAUCGGUAGCCGGACUGAGAGGUUGAACGGCCACAUUGGGACUGAGACACGGCCCAGACUCCUACGGGAGGCAGCAGUGGGGAAUAUUGCACAAUGGGGGAAACCCUGAUGCAGCGACGCCGCGUGGAGGAAGAAGGUCUUCGGAUUGUAAACUCCUGUUGUUGAGGAAGAUAAUGACGGUACUCAACAAGGAAGUGACGGCUAACUACGUGCCAGCAGCCGCGGUAAAACGUAGGUCACAAGCGUUGUCCGGAAUUACUGGGUGUAAAGGGAGCGCAGGCGGGAAGACAAGUUGGAAGUGAAAUCUAUGGGCUCAACCCAUAAACUGCUUUCAAAACUGUUUUUCUUGAGUAGUGCAGAGGUAGGCGGAAUUCCCGGUGUAGCGGUGGAAUGCGUAGAUAUCGGGAGGAACACCAGUGGCGAAGGCGGCCUACUGGGCACCAACUGACGCUGAGGCUCGAAAGUGUGGGUAGCAAACAGGAUUAGAUACCCUGGUAGUCCACACCGUAAACGAUGAUUACUAGGUGUUGGAGGAUUGACCCCUUCAGUGCCGCAGUUAACACAAUAAGUAAUCCACCUGGGGAGUACGACCGCA